GUCAUGGUAGCUCAGUGGUUAAGUAAGCGUCUCCGCACCGCCAAUGUUUGGGUUCGAUCCCCGGUUGUGCCA
rnacentral:tRNA from 1 species